rnacentral:lncRNA from 1 species
ACUCUGUUGUCCUAAUACUUUUCUUCCAUCAUCAGAGUUCUCACAGAAAAAUCUUUCACCACUGUCUUUGCUCAUCAAGAUUCCAGUGACUCCAGUGAGAGAAGAAACAGAGGCACCUAAAACAGUACGUGAACAGAUUAGAAGGCGGAUCACUGAAGAGAGGACGUUCUGGGUAUAAGACAUGGCAUGGCAGUGUCUGCAGACGUGGAAGAUGGGAGAAGAAGAGGAAGAGGAGCUGGGGAGCAGGAGGAGAUGAAGAUAGCAAAAAGUGACUCAG